CAGGAGGCGGCGGGGGAGGCGGCUACAACUCCGGUUAUGACGGCUACGGAAACUCACACGGCGGAGGGCGCUACCGACCCCACUCCAAUGGAUACGGUCACGGUGCAGGCGGGUAUACAACCUACGGCGACCCGCACGGUAAUCAGUGGGUGCCCCCCCACUCCACCCCCACAUUUAAUAACAGCUUGUCCGCCCUGUGGGAAAGGCCAGUGUAGGCCUGUGUUACUGGCUCAACCCAAAGGCGCCCAUUGUAGUGAUGUAUGUCUGUAAGGAAGCUUCUGAGCAAAGGGUCCCCCCUUCAGGGGGGGGAUCAGGUCCGUGGGGCUCAGAGGGGGCUGGUUCUCAGGCUGGCAGGU